GGAGUUUGGACCGUGUCUCAGUUCCAAUGUGGGGGACCUUCCUCUCAGAACCCCUACUGAUCGUUGACUAGGUGGGCCGUUACCCCGCCUACUAUCUAAUCAGACGCAUCCCCAUCCCUUAGCGAUGAAUCUUUGGUCCUCGUCAGAUGUCUUCAAAGGACAACAUAGGGAAUUAAUCCGACUUUCGCCGGGCUGUGCCCUACUAAGGGGAAGGUUGGAUACGCGUUACUCACCCGUGCGCCGGUCGCCAUCAAAGUUUGCAAGCAAACUUCAUGCUGCCCCUCGACUUGCAUGUGUUAAGCCUGUAGCUAGCGUUCAUC
rnacentral:rRNA from 1 species